UACGUAGGGUGCAAGCGUUAAUCGGAAUUACUGGGCGUAAAGCGUGCGCAGGCGGUUAUGUGAGACAGGUGUGAAAUCCCCGGGCUUAACCUGGGAACUGCAUUUGUGACUGCAUAGCUAGAGUACGGUAGAGGGGGAUGGAAUUCCGCGUGUAGCAGUGAAAUGCGUAGAUAUGCGGAGGAACACCGAUGGCGAAGGCAAUCCCCUGGACCUGUACUGACGCUCAUGCACGAAAGCGUGGGGAGCAAACAGG
rnacentral:rRNA from 1 species